AUAGGAGGUUAGUCAGGCCCAAGACACAGUCUUACUGUGUCUUGGGUCAGGCUAAUACAACGUUCGUCAGAACUAAAAAUACCUGCUAUAAAAGUAAACGGUUCAUGCGCGAUCUCCCUGAGAAGUUGAUCCUCAACUUCGGCGCACAUCACGGAUCUCAACACCGUAUCCACUCGUUUCAGAUAUUUAUAGGAAAGAAGGACCAAACCACGCGAGAGCACCCGCCAACCGCCUGCAUUUUAUGUAAUACCCAGAGAAAAUUUUGAAAGAAAUUUUGGAAAUAGAACGACCACACCCAACUCUGUGGCCCUAGCCUCGUUAUUCAGGCUGGAAUACAGCCAGUUGGGACGAUUUGGGGCAACGCGAACGCAACUUUUCUCAACGGAGCAAAAGGCAAGAAGCCUCUGAUUGGUCCAGACAGCCGGUUUCACGGCAGCGUAACGGUGGAGGACCUGCGCCCUACAGUUCCGAUUCUACCAGAAGCAAAGAGUUUUACAGCUUUCACUUUCUUCGGGCUUUUUGUGGCUGCUACAACUCUUCUUCUUUGUGUUGUUAUUGCUAUUGGGCUGCACUGGUAUUUGCGUCGCUCUUCAUAUGAUUUCCAUAGCUUUCCAUUUCAAAAACAAAUCCUCGGUGAGCCUCUAGUCUCAAACCUGUAUUGAACCAAUAUAGCUUGACAAUCUCAAUUUACAACAACAACAAAAACAAUUAAAACUGGGCGGAGAACCCUUCAAAUUUAUCUACAAAAAAAUAAAUAAAACAGCAUAAUAAUAGAUUGCAAUAAAAAAUAGCGGUCUAUCCCAUACUAGUAUAAUAAUAAGCUCUGAGCGCUUUACACCAAUCACAUGAUGAUUUACACAAGAGAAAAUAUUUCACAGAAACAAGAAAAACCAGUUCAGCCACAUAAAGAAGAACUUUCACAACCAAACAUUAACUAUAUUUACGAAAGAACAGCAUUUUAAAAAGAAGCUACAAAAAAAACAAAACAACAAAAACUAUAUCAGCACUUACUAGAUCUAAGUUAAUACACUACAACUAAGAAUUAAACAAGAAAUGAGUCUUGAGCAACCGCUUAAACGUAUCAGAAUGUGUUAUUUCUCUAAGAUCCUUGGGUAAGGUGUUCCAGGUUUUAGGGCCCAAAAAAUGAGAAACUUUUCUCACCAAAAGAUCGCAAUUUCAUUCUAGAUCUAGCAGCUCUGAAUUAUGUUGUAUAUGUUGAUCUAUAAGGAAGCUUGGUAUGAGAUUUUAAACCUAGGUCUUUCUCUUUGCAAGCCAUAGACUUGUUUGGAAAAAAGUCUCAAACUGAAAAAGAAAUAAGGCAAAAAAUAAACUUGAAAAAAAAUAUUUUAAAAA